GAGGCGUUUUGUCUCCAGGUGUGUUAUGACUGUACUAUCUGGGAGGUAUUUGGUCUCCAGGGGUGUUUUGACGAUACUAUGUUGGAGAUAUAACACUUGUCUCCAGGGGUGUUUUGACUGUACUAUGUGGGAGGUAUUUGGUCUUCAUGGGUGUUUUGACUGUACUGUGUGGGAGGUAUUUGGUCUCCAGGGUGUUUGGACUGUACUAUGUGGGAGAUAUUUGGUCUCCAGGGGUGUUUUGACUGUACUAUGUGGGAGAUAUAACACUUGUCUCCAGGGGUGUUUUGACUGUACUAUGUGGGAGGUAUCUGGUCUCCAGGGGUGUUUUGACUGCCCGGUACCCUGCACAGCAACCCGCCAUAGCCCCCACCAUUUCUCCUUUACCCAAAUCCAGAUAGCCGAUGUUCUGAAAGAGCUGCAAAAUCUGGAUCCCUACAAAUCAGCCGGGAUAGACAAUCUGGACCCUCUCUUUCUAAAAUUAUCUGCCGAAAUUGUUGCAACCCCUAUUACUAGCCUGUUCAACCUCUCUUUCGAAUCGUCUGAGAUUCCCAAAGAUUGGAAAGCUGCCGCAGUCAUCCCCUUUAUUCUGUUAGGAACGGCACAAAAUUGCACGUCAUGCAAUGCACGUCUCACCAUCCA
ensembl:lncRNA